rnacentral:lncRNA from 1 species
AUUUUUUUUUUCCCCUCUAACAUUUACACUUGGCCUUAUUACUGCAGGCAUAUGAUGAACAAUGCUGGGCCUUGCGCUUCAUUUUACGCUCGCUUCUUUUCACAUUGUAAAUUCAUAGCACGCACUACUUCUUGGGUAGUAGACGGCGUCUUCUGUUUAACAGACUGGCCUAGACUGAUUGGUCAUUCCACCAGGGAGCUGGAGAGAGACAGACGCCAUCCUGUAUAUUGAGGACCUCUUUUGGCUGCUUCCUGUAUUUCAUGUUUCUUGUCUUCUUUUUUGAGUUUCUGUUGUGUUACUUUCAUUUGCUUAAUGCCCAUGACGGCUGCCCCCUUGCUUCUCACACAGACACAUUUUUAGCAAAGUCUUCCAUUGUUUUGACCUUUUGUGUGCACAUGUUUUUGUCUCGUGUUAAACGCUCCUGCGGUCACACGUAUACAUUUUAUGGUUGGAGGUCAGGUGCGGAGACACGGCAGGCAGAUGGUCCGCUCUCUUUCUUUUUUUUUCUGUCUCGACUUCGUCUACAUUUUUGUUAAUGGCUUCGUUGUGCAGUUUCGCAGAUUCAGGCCUCACCUCUCUCUCUUUUUUUUCAUUGGCUCCAAAUCUUAGAGCAUUCAGCCUCUUUCCUAGUGGAUCAAAGAGCUCACAGAUCGUUUGAAGGCUUCAAACUUGGUCGUGGUCAGUGCCGCGGCCCUGCGAGGGUGUGUGUUUCUGUAUCUUCAGUCCCUGUGCCACAGUAAAACUGGGUGCUGCAUUCUAAGCAGCAUCCAAUUCAAAGUUGCGACACUUUUGCUGAUCUUUGUCCGACAUAGUUGGCUGUAAGUUGACGCUUGCAUCGUGGGGGAAUCUCUUACAAACCCUAACGGAGCAUCGUCAGGGAAGCCCAUUACUGGAACAAAUCUUGCCUUGGCUACUACUGUUGCUGCUCGUUUCAAUGAUGUUGCACGCAGUGGAGGUUUUGGAGACUUUUUUCGGCAGUACCUUGCUGCGCACACUGCAACAGCCUUAGUGGUAUACUUUUCUUUACUUUUCAUUUUUCUUUCUUUAGCUGCGCUUGUGAGGUGUGCCGUGUUUGCUUUAUGUGCUUCCACGCACUUGUUUGCUCAGCACUGUCCCCGAGUUGUAGCCAUACUUUCAUAUGACAUCCUUCCUGUAGAAGACAUUUAUUAUAAUUUUUUUUCGUGGUGAGAACACAAAGCGAGCUUUGGAGUGAUGACUGUUUUGAACAAGUUUCAUGUACAAGUGUGCGUGCAUGUGUUGUGUGUGUGUGUGUGAUGCUUUUUUUUCUGCAUGGUGGUUCUACAAGUGUAUGUGCGACCGGUAUGAAAAAAAAAAUAAACCUGUUACUUGAGAACAAAAUAAAAAUGAAUUGUUUCUUUA